AAACCCGACCCCAUGGCGAAGCCAGGCAGCCGGCGAGGGGCAGUCUCCCGCUCUGGGGUCCUUUAGUAAAUCCAGACCCGACCUCCCUGUGGUCAGGGCUGUGACUGAGGUGGUCCUGUGGGGGAAGGGGGCUUCCCGCCUGCACCAGGCCUGCAAGCAUUUAAGUGGCAACCGGUUGGGGAUCAGAAAACGGGCUCAGAGAGGUCAAGGUGACACUGGCCAGCAAAUGUCACUACACUGUGCAGCCUGUUCCUGCUUGCCAGGAAAAAAA
rnacentral:lncRNA from 1 species